rnacentral:ribozyme from 11 species
AAAACAGAUGGAGAAAAUGUCUACGAGGCACCAGAUUAAUUUUCUUCUUGUAUCUUCAGUUUCCAAACUUAAUUUUUUCUUCUGCUUUUUCAAUUUAUCUCAUUUUU